GUUUCUGUGGAGGAAAAUGAAGAAGAUGAUUCACGAUUUAAGAAUAAAUUCUUAAUGGGAGCGAAGUUUGGUUUAAGAAGCGUUGCCGCCUGUCAGUUACGUCCAGGUUACAACAGAAUCGGUCAGUGUCAAGGCACACCUCUUCCUCUCCGAAGCUUGAGCCCGUGACUCUCUGCAGCUUGACGCAGCUUGGUGUUUUCAGUUGCACAAGAAGCGGAAACAGAGGGCGGAACUUCCGCUGGACAGGCUGCGCUCUCACUGGUCAACAUGCGUUGUUUUGGUCCUGUUAGAGGCGGGGCUACGGCCUUUCUCUGAUCUCUGAUUGGUUACAGCCAGAAGUUUAUGACCCGUGGGUUCAGCCCAUGGAUGUAUAUAGAGAAGCCUCCCACAAGUUUCACUUUGUAAAGUCCAGACCCGCUGAAAACCUGUUCUCGCACCUGAUAUUAACGUAAAGCCUCCACAUCCAGUUUGUCACGUUACAUUAACGCACAUUUUUGCAAAUCUGUAGGUUUUUAUUUUGUUGUUAUUCUUUUUUUCUUCAUACUGCCAAUAGUUGCACUUUCCAUCUUCUUCAUUUUAAAAUAUAUAUAUUACAUAUUUUAAGUUUAGAUUUCUAUUUAUGACUUGACUUUUAUAGUACUUGUUUUCUUUUCUUUUACUUUGUUUAUUUUGACCGUUAUGCACCACAACACCUAAGGCAAAUCCCUUGUAUGUGAAAACCUACUUACCUACUGCUGAAGGCAAUAAACCUGUUUCUGACACAGUCUACAGUUAAAACUCAGUUUCUCAGCUGCUGUGGCACAAUCAUCUGUGUGCAAUUCACAAGUCAGUUUUCUCAUAACAUUAUAUGUAUUUCUUGUUGCUUGACCCAGUGAUGCACUGUCUUUGCCUUUGUGACCAAAGUAGAUUACACUGCUUUUCUAAUGUUUUGUAUGAUAUGACUCCUAACCGCAUUUAUAAACAUGUAAAUCCUAA